AUGGAAUAGUCCAUCCUUUUGCUCAUUCCAAUCCAUCAACUAACCAGACAAUCGAUUCAUUUUUGAAAGUGCGGGUUAGGCCCAUUCCAUUCACUCACGCUUUCCGCCUCUCUCACGCAUCUCUCUCCGCCUCUCUCUAUCGCCUCUCUCUCCGCCUCUCCCUCUCUCUCGCCUCUCUCUCCGCCUCUCUCUCUCUCUCUCGCAUCUCUCUCUCCUCUCUCUCUUCCUCGCAUCUCUCUCUUCCUUUUCUGCCUCUCCCCCUCUCUACACUCAGCUAAUCCUUAAUCUGGAAAGCAGCUAGAAUCUUCAAACCACGCAUCUCAACGAUUCCUUUUAUCAUUUGCAAUGAUAUUCAAACCUAAAUCAAUCUAAGCAUACAGAGCUGCUUAGCUAGAGCCUAGAAGCUGGUUCAUCAAGGUGUAAAGCUCUUUUAAAUUACAUUUCUACUCAUUUUUUCAAAGCCCAUAUAUCUUCCUAGUUUCUACUCCAGUCUCUUCGUCCAAGCUAGGCAGCCCCUGUCUUUGUAUUUCAUGAUG